AGGGUUUCAUCAUGAAGGAAUGUUAAUUUUGCCAAAUGCUUUUUCUGCAUCUAUUGAAUUGAUUAUAUGGAUUUUGUUCUUCAUUAUGUUAUGGAAUGUUUCACAUGUAUUGAUUUGCAUAUGUUGAACCAUCCUUUCAUUCCUGGAAUAA